rnacentral:rRNA from 1 species
UAGUCCUAGCUGUAAACGAUGAGCACUUGGUCGAGGGGACCUCCACAUCCUCUCGGCCGUAGCGAAAGUGUUAAGUGCUCCGCCUGGGGAGUAUGGUCGCAAGGCUAAAACUCAAAGGAAUUGACGGGGGCUUACACAAGCGGUGGAGGAUGUGGCUUAAUUCGAGGCUACGCGAAGAACCUUAUCCUGGUCUUGACAUGUUUAGGAAUCUUCCUGAAAGGGGAGAGUGCCUUCGGGAGCCUUUACACAGGUGCUGCAUGGCUGUCGUCAGCUCGUGCCGUGAGGUGUCGGGUUAAGUCCCUUAACGAGCGCAACCCCUAUCCUUAGUUACCAGCGGGUAAAGCCGGGGACUCUAGGGAGACUGCCGGUGUUAAACCGGAGGAAGGCGGGGACGACGUCAAGUCAUCAUGGUCCUUACGCCCAGGGCUACAAACGUGCUACAAUGGCUGGUACAAAGCGAAGCGAGACCGCGAGGUGGAGCAAAUCGCAGAAAGCCAGUCCCAGUUCGGAUUGCAGGCUGAAACUCG